GAUCGGCUAACUCCGUGCCAGCAGCCGCGGUAAUACGGAGGAUCCGAGCGUUAUCCGGAUUUAUUGGGUUUAAAGGGUGCGUAGGCGGCCUUUUAAGUCAGCGGUGAAAGUCUGUGGCUCAACCAUAGAAUUGCCGUUGAAACUGGGGGGCUUGAGUAUGUUUGAGGCAGGCGGAAUGCGUGGUGUAGCGGUGAAAUGCAUAGAUAUCACGCAGAACCCCGAUUGCGAAGGCAGCCUGCCAAGCCAUUACUGACGCUGAUGCACGAAAGCGUGGGGAUCAAACAGGAUUAGAUACCCUGGUAGUCCACGCAGUAAACGAUGAUCACUAGCUGUUUGCGAUACACUGUAAGCGGCACAGCGAAAGCGUUAAGUGAUCCACCUGGGGAGUACGCCGGCAACGGUGAAACUCAAAGGAAUUGACGGGGGCCCGCACAAGCGGAGGAACAUGUGGUUUAAUUCGAUGAUACGCGAGGAACCUUACCCGGGUUUGAACGCAUUCGGACCGAGGUGGAAACACCUUUUCUAGCAAUAGCCGUUUGCGAGGUGCUGCAUGGUUGUCGUCAGCUCGUGCCGUGAGGUGUCGGCUUAAGUGCCAUAACGAGCGCAACCCUUGCCACUAGUUACUAACAGGUAAAGCUGAGGACUCUGGUGGGACUGCCAGCGUAAGCUGCGAGGAAGGCGGGGAUGACGUCAAAUCAGCACGGCCCUUACAUCCGGGGCGACACACGUGUUACAAUGGCGUGGACAAAGGGAAGCCACCUGGCGACAGGGAGCGAAUCCCCAAACCACGUCUCAGUUCGGAUCGGAGUCUGCAACCCGACUCCGUGAAGCUGGAUUCGCUAGUAAUCGCGCAUCAGCCAUGGCGCGGUGAAUACGUUCCCGGGCCUUGUACACACCGCCCGUCAAGCCAUGGGAGCCGGGGGUACCUGAAGUGCGUAACCGCGAGGAGCGCCCUAGGGUAAAACUGGUGACUGGGGCUAAGUCGUAACAAGGUAGCCGUACCGGAAGGUGCGGCUG
rnacentral:rRNA from 1 species